rnacentral:lncRNA from 1 species
CCAAAAAUUACAUAAACUAACUUAUAAACAGGCCCAUGCUUGGCACUGGCUUAUGAACUAGUGCAGCAUAAAGUUGAACUAUCCAUUUCCAUAGUUCGUAUAACCAGGAAGGAAUCUCAAUACCAGUAAGAUAGAGGAUGGUAAAGGGAAUUACUACAUCUGAUUCCCAGAAGUCAAGGAAUGUUUCAUCACUUUACAUAUAGAUUACAUCAUCGCUGGGAAAAAUGGUUAAAUAAAUUCAUUAAAAUAAAACAGAAUAACAAUAUAAGUGGAGGAACGGUUCAAAAAUGUACUUGAUGACUAGUUGUCAUCUAGGUUUUAUCAGAUAUGAUGCACCAAGAAUUGCCUACGACAGUACAUGUGACGACCCCAAAUCCAGGUACUUGAAAUCCGAACUCGGUUCUCCACGAUACCAUUUCUUUAAGCUGAAUAAUACUAAAUAAUAAUACAUUCAAACUUAAUUUACAUACAUCAAAGUUUACUUCCCCAGGUGCGUGACCUUCAAAUACAUUCCUUACAAUACUUGAAUAGAUACCAAUACAACUAUAAUCAUUAACUCAUAAUACACACUUAUUCGAUCAGCUUUCCUUUUUCAUUUGUUCGUGCCUGAGCCUUCAGGUUGCUCAUACAUAACUGAAAACAUUUAAUUUAAGCAAGGAUGAGCAUUUAAGUGCCCAGCAAGUAAUAACAAUUAUAUAUAAGCUGAAAGAAUAUAAGUAUUCUCUUUACAUAACACUUCUACAACGAAUUGAAAGUUAUGAAGUAAUCUGUACUGAUAAAAAAAUCACAUAACAACUCUCUUUCAAAUUCUUUAAAUUUGGCUCUGGCUCUACCCUUGAAUAGGGUUUAAGAAACAUACUAUGAACAUUCUUUUCAUUUUCGAAAAGGUUUAGCGGAAUUCUAUCCUCAAACCGUCAUAACUUACGGGCACGGAGGGUGAUCAGCCCCGUUGUACCCUGUAUUGAUCAAUACUACAUAACUUGAACGAAAUUCAUCGCUCACUCUAUCCGCCUUGCGCAAAAAUCUUCCCAUAUAGGGAUGUUCAUACAUGCCUGGUUCCAAACCCGAAGGUUUUUAAUCUUGCUCAACAAUAAUAUGUAAUUCAACAUAUAUAUACGGGUAAUUGACAAAGGUGUAUCAACAUGUGAACAAAUGCCAUGAUUAUCCAAGUGGGGACACUUGUAUAACCAUUUAUAGAAAUCAAUGAACAGAAUAUAUAUCUGAGCUAACAUGUCGAUAAUCAAAGAGUACAUAAUCUGUACAGGGAUAGAAUAAUUCUGAAACUUCUUACUCAUGUCCAUUGCAUAAAGGAAGUGCAAAGGUAGGAUACUUGCCUGAUUCGCUGAUUACAAAUCUCAACUUAGGUUUUAUCUCUUUAUCACAACCUAUCAAUAAUCAGAUCAUUCGUUCGAUUAGAACAAUAUAUCUUAACACAUAGUACUGUCUAUUACAGUCAGCACAUAGUCUAAUCACAUAAUCACAGUGAUCAUACUUUUAGUUCCUAUUCUAUACUUGAAAUAUUUUUAUACAUUUUUCAAAUAUCUCAUCCAUGCUCUUACAGUAGUCUUUUCUUUCUUUUAUAAGGUCUGACAUUUGUCGGCGUACCGACAGCUUUAUCGGGUAAAUACUGAGUCUAAGACUCUUAUUCUAUACCUCAACAUCUGUAAAUAUCAGACAUCUUAUUUUUAAUCAUUUUCGCAAUUUCCAGAAAUUGAAAAAUUUAAAAUAAUUCAAAUCUGUCACUAAAGGGCCUAUAGUGAUAUAACUGUUACUAUAGGUGUUCUUCUUCAAAUUCAGAACUUCAUAAUCGGUUCUCAAGUCAGCUAGUUUGGCCGGCUAUAACUUUCAAAUAUCGGAAUCAUAAUUAAAUGAUUUAAACAUUAAACAAUUCCAUUAUCAUUAAUAGUUUAAUUAAUACUAAACUAUUAAUGAAACCAUUGCCAAAAUAUAAAAGUUAUUUAUAAUAACUCAAACUAUUUUUAAAACAUUUAUAUUACCCAAAUAAUUACCAUUAAUAUUUAAAUAUUAAUGUACUAUUUAUCCAAAUAUUAAAAGUCAUUAAUUAUAACUUAAAAUAUUUUUAAAUCCUUAAUAUCCUCUUUAAAUGGUUUUUAAAUAAGUAAAACCAUUUUUAAACUAUUUAUUUAAUAUUAAUCAUUAAAUAAACUAAAUAUCAUUAAUAUUAUCUUAAUAUCAUUAAUAUUUAAUUAUUAAUGAAAUUAUCAUUUAAAUAUUAAAAGUUAUAUUUUAUAACUUAAAAUAUUUUUAAAUACCUUAUUUUCAUUUAAAAUGAUUUUUAUAAUAUUAAAAUCAUUUUUAAACUAAAUUAUUUAAUAUAAUCAUUAAAUAACUUUAAUAUCAUUAAUAAUUAUUAAUUAAUGAAAUUCAUCACAAAAUAUUAAAAGUCAUCACAAAUAACUCAUUUACAUAAUCAAUUCCAAGCCAAAAUAAACAUAGUAAACUAACUAGUUUAUUAACAACACUAACUAAACUUCAAAAAUUCAAACUUUAACUAACAAUUAAAAAUAAUAACAUUACAAAAAUUAAAUAAGAAACAUACCCGGAAAUACGAAUUCCACAGACUGAAUACGCACUUCCACGCCAAAAUUUAACUAAGGAGAUCUUUAUAAAAAGUUCUCCCACAACAAAGCCUUUCUCAAAAAUUGGAGGCCUU